rnacentral:rRNA from 1 species
AUAACCCUCAGCAACAGAUAUCUCAGCUCUCGCAUCGAUGAAGAACGUAGCAAAAUAUGAUCCUUAGUGUGAAUUGUACAAUCUCAUGAACCAUGGAGUAUUUGAACGCAAGUUAUGCCCGAAGCUAUUAGGCCAAGGGCACGUCUGCCUGGGCAUCACGCAUUGCAUCUCCCCCUCGCAUUGUGCCUCAAUGACGGGGUUUAUUGUUGUCUUGGGGCGGAUCCUGGCCUCUCGUGAACCUCGAGCUCGUGGCUGGCCUAAAUGCGAGUCCACAUUGAUGGACAUCACAGAAAGUGGUGGUUGUAUCUCAACUCUCUUUGUUGUCGCGGCAAUAGCCCGUCGUGCGUUCGGACUCCAUGAAACUUUCGAGCUUAGGCACUCCGAAUGCGACCCCAGGUCAGGCGGGAUUAUCCGCUGUGUUUAAGCAUAUCAAUAAGCAAAGGAAAAUUAACUUACAAGGAUUCCAUUAGUAACAGCGAGUGAACCAGGAAUAGCCCAGCCUUAGAAUGAGGCGGCUCCAUCGUCCGAAUUGUAGUUUGGAGAAGCGUCCUCAGCGAAGGACCGGGCCCAAGUCCCCUAGAAGGGGGCACUAGAGAGAGUGAGAGCCCCAUUAUGCCCAGACCCUAUCGCACCACGAGGCACUAUCUACGAGUUGGGUUGUUUGCGAAUGCAACCCAAAUUGUGCAGUGAAUUCUGUCCAAGGCUAAAUACGGGCGAUAGACCGAUAGCGAACAAGUAUCACUAGGGAAAGAUGAAAAGGACUUUGAAAAGAGAGUCAAAGAAUGCUUGAAACUAUUGGGAGAAAAGUGGAUGUGGGCCGACGAUGCACCCCGAUCGGAUAUAGAAUGGCGACGAGUCGGUCUACCAAUCAACUUUGGGCAUGAACCAGCGUGGAUUAGGGGGCUUCCAAAGCCUGGGCUCUCGGUACGCUCGUGGAAUGCCAUCUCCUCGAUUAUGGCAGGCAGCACGUGCCUCCGGCGUGCUUUGACAUCUACAAACUAUGGACGCUUGCCUGUGGGCUCCCCAUUUGACCUGUCUUGAAAAAUAGACCAAGGAGUCUAACAUGUGCGCGAGUCAACAGGCGACUAAACCUGUAAGGCAUAAUGAAGCUGAUUGGUGGUAUCCUCCCAAGGGGUGCACCGCUGACCGACCUUUAUCUUCUGAGUAGGGUUCAAGUGUGAGCAUACAUGUUGGGACCCGAAAGAUGGUGAACUAUGCCUAAACGGGGCGAAGCCACGGAAAACUCUGGUGGAGGCCCGCAGCGAUACUGACAUGCAAAGCGUCCCUCUGACUUGGGUGUAGGGCCUGCAGCUGCUUUGUUGAGCUUUACCUCAAAAUCAAGAGCUCCAAAUGGGCCAUUUCUGGUAAGCAGAAUAGGAGAUGCGGGAUGAACCAAAAACCGGGUUACUGUGCCAAACUGUAUGCAAACCUAGAUCCCACAAAGGGUGUUAGUCAAUUAAGACAGCAGGACGGUGGUCAUGGAAGUCAAAAUCCACUAAGGAGUGUGUAACAACUCACCUUCCGAAUAAACUAGCCCCAAAAAUGGAUGACGCUUAAGCAUGCGACCUACACCCGGCCGUCGGGAAAAGUUCUGGGCCCGAUGAGUAGGAGGCCAUUGGUGCAGAUAUUGAUGGUAGUAGAAAAUAUUCAAAUGAGAACAUUGAAGGCCGAAGAGGGGAAAGAUUCCAUGUGAACGGCACUUGCACAUAGAUUAGUUGAUCCUAAGGGUCGGGUGAACCCCGACAGAUAGCGCAUUUUGCGCGUACUCUGAAAGGGAGUUAGGUUAAAAUUCCUGGACCGGGAUGAGGCGGUCUACGAUAAUGUUAGAAAGUCCAAAGACGUUGGCGAAAGCCUCGGGAAGAGUUAUCUUUUUUGUUUAACAGCCUGCCCGCCCUGGAAUCGACUCAACCGGAGGUAGGGUCCAGUGGCUGGAAGAGCACCGCAUGUCCCGUGGUGUCCGAUGCACUACCGGCGGCCCUUGAAAAUCCAGAGGACUGAAUUCCAUCCACGCCUGAUUGUACUCAUUACUACAUCAGGUCACCAAAGGGAACAACCUCUGGUCGAUGGAACAAUGUAGGCAAGGAAAGUAGGCAAAAGGGAUCCGUAACUUCUGGAGAUGGAUUGGCACUUAGGGUUGGGCACAAGGGACCCAGUCCUGAACCCAUUGGUUGUUGGUGGACUACUCGAGAAGCUCCUUUAGCGAGAGCGGGUAACCGCAUGCUGGUUGGGGGAUGAACUGGGAUCUGUUCCUUCGGGGGCCUUCUCUGCACGUCGAAUAGCCAACUCAGAACCGGUACGAACAAGGGGAAUCUAACUGUUUAAUUAAAACAAAGCAUUGCAAUAAUCCCAACAGAUGUUCACGCAUUGUGAUUUCUACCCAGUGCUCUGAAUGUCAAAGUGAAGAAAUUUAACUAAGCGUAGAUAAACGGCAGGAGUAACUAUGACUCUUUUAAGGUAGCCAAAUGCCUCAUCAUCUGAUUAGUGACGCGCAUAAAUGGAUGAAUGAUAUUUCGACUAUCCCUGUCUACUAUCCAGUGUAACCACAGCCAAGGGAACGGGCUUGCCAGAAUCAGCGGGGAAAAAAGACCCUCUUGAGCUUAACUAUACUCCGACUUUGUGAAAUAACUUGAGAGGUGUAGUAUAAGUGGGAGCCAAAAGGAGAAAGUGAAAUAACUCUACUACUUUUAAUGUUAUUCUACUUAUUCAGUGAUCGGAAGUGGGGCACUGCCCCCUUUUUUAGACCCAAGGCUCGCUCUGUGGGCCGAUCUGGGCAGAAUACAUUGUCAGGUGGGGAGUUUGGCUGGGGCGGCACAUCUGUUAAAAGAUAAUGCAGGUGUCCUAAGAUAAGCUCAACGAGAACAGAAAUAUCAUGUGGAACAGAAUGGUAAAAGCUCAUUUGAUUGUGAUUUCCAGUAUGAAUGUGAACCAUGAAAGCGUGGCCUAACGAUCCUUUAGGCCUUCAAAAUUUGAAGCUAGAGGUGUCAGAAAAGUGUUACCGCAGGAAUAACUGGCCUGUUACAACCAAGUGUUCAUAGCGACGAGGCUUUUUCAUCCUUCGAUGACUGCUCUUUCUAUCAAUGUGAAGUAGAAUUUACCAAGUGUUGGACUGUUCACCCACCAAUAGGGAACGUGAGAUGGGUUUAGACCGUAAUGAGAUAGGUUAGUUUUACCCUACUUAUAACAGUGUGAGUUUACCUCAACCUAGUUAGCCUCUUGUUUUUCAAGUGUCGCAUACGUUCCAUUCCAAAUAGUUAAGUACAUGAUAUCAAGUGGCCUUU